GACUGUUAUUAGCUGAUAUCUACAAAGAUAACCAGUUUUUGUUGUCAGGUCAGGUAGAAGGAUUUUAUGUGUGCCAUGAAGGUUCAACACCAGUGCUUCUUCCUUUGCAAGAUUCUCACUGCUGUAUUCCAUGGUGAUACAGUGGGGACAGCCCAGAGCAGUUUUGAUGUGGUUUAAAUACCAUCCUGUUGUCUCUCAACCGAUUCUCUGCUCCAUAUCACAACCAAAGUCUAGACCCUUUUCCUCUUCUUUAGGACCCUCACCUUUUCCUCAGAUGCCAGUGAAUUCUCCAACUCAAUCAUUCAUUCACCUCAUCUUAGAAGAAUUUCUGGAUUUUCCAAGGAAGCAUCAGAUGUACAGACCAAUUUACUCUGAGCUACUAUUUUUUUUCUCAUCCCAGAUCAAUCGUCUUCAUCUAAGGAUGGGGAAAUGUAAUUCUACACAGCACCCAGGAUGA
rnacentral:lncRNA from 1 species